rnacentral:rRNA from 1 species
AUUGAACGCUGGCGGCAGGCCUAACACAUGCAAGUCGAACGAGUGGCGGACGGGUGAGUAAUGUCUGGGACACUGCCUGAUGGAGGGGGAUAACUACUGGAAACGGUAGCUAAUACCGCAUACCAUCAGAUGUUCCCAGAUGGGAUUAGCUUGUUGGUGGGGUAACGGCGCACCAAGGCGACGAUCCCUAGCUGGUCUGAGAGGAUGACCAGACAACCGGGAACUGUGACACGGUCCAGAGUCCUACGGGAGGCAGCAGUGGGGAAUAUUGGACAAUGGGCGCAAGCCUGAUGCGGCCAUGCCGCGUGUAUGAAGAAGGCCUUCGGGUUGUAAAGUACUUUCAGCGGGGAGGCGUUACCCGCAGAAGAAGCACCGGCUAACUCCGUGCCAGCCGCCGCGGUAAUAC